CUGAGAAGCAGAAAUCUGAGGACGCUUGGAGCCAGAAAUGAAACGAAACACUCUCAGAAUGUUAGUUUCUGCCUUGGCUCCAGCAUGUAUAAACACAGUCUGCAGUGUGUAACUUUCUCCUAAACUUCCCUAAUUGCUUGCAAUUUUUGAAGAAAAAACAACAGAAACAUGAUGAAUGAACCUUUUUUUUAAUUAGAAGUGGAAGUUGCAAGACAGCUCAGAAACAACUGAAGUCUGGAAAUGAGUCAAUUAAGAAAAAUAAAAUUGGAAAGGUCCCUUUCCUAUCCUUCUGUCAUCAGAUCUCUGGGAUUUAUGCUUUCAGCCAUUUGUCAGGGUAAGGAUUUCAACGUAUUACCCAGGCAAAGCAGAUCAAAACUGCUGAGACAACUUUGCCCUCAAAGAACCACAUGUAUAAGCUAUGCCAGCUUGCUGGAUGAACAAGCUUCCUUGGAACUCAGGCUGGCAUGGAGACUGCCGGAUAAUCCAAGUCUGUGGCUGCAAGAGUAAUGGAGCCAGGAGGCACAGUUCAGGCCAGUCUAUAAUUCCACAAUCUUGCUUGGUCGCUGUAGGACCUGGCUGUGGCCCAGCACAGCUUCACCUUGUAAAGGAGGCCCCAGAGAAGUAAUACCAGUGGAAUUGCUUCCCAGGACGCCCACUCCUCUUGUAGAUUUUGGUAUGCAGCUUCCAGGGGCAGGAAUUAUGGGCACCACUGCUUUAAGCCACUUAAAAUAUUUUGUAUUUGUAACAUUGAGUUAAUGUGUAUGGGUUAGAGAGGGAAGGAAAACUAGAAUUCUGUUCUGUAAGAAAAACCUUUGGUGCCCCCUUGUGAUAUUUUAUUAUCAGCAUUUGAAAUUAAGGGCUAUUUUCACAGAGGAAAGCAGUUCAACAUUAAGAUAAUUUCACAUUUAAGUAAGUUAAUUGAGGAAAGCAUUUAAAGAAUUAGUUUUUUUUAUUGGUAUCUAUUCUGUUUUAUAUGACAUUCUCCCUGGACCACUUUAUGAGAAUUAUUUAAGGCAGGAAAAAAGUCCAGAACAGGAACUUAAAACAAUGUCCCAGUAAGCAUUGCUGUUUGGAGCAGAAAAAUCCCACUGUACUUUCUCAUAUACCUAUUUGGGAUACAGAGUCUUGAACAUUUUCAUAACAGAAACACUUCCAGCAGAAAUGCUGAAAGGUAAGUGCAUCCCCAUAAUUGUUUUUGUACAUCACAACAGAGUACACAAGGGCAAAAGGAUACAGGAAAAUGAAGACUAACAUUUCAAUAUUCAUGGGAGUGCUACUUUUGUACAAAUCUUUCAAAAAGAGGAGAGAAUGUUUGCAACACAAGCAGAACAAAUUUUUAAAAGCAAAAAAUGUUUCUAUGGCCACUGCUAUUAUUACUAGGUCCCCUGCCCCUCUGCUACCACUGUCCACCCUGCAGCGGCCAGGGAGGCAAGGGAGGUAGAUUAGCUUCCAAAGGAGACCCUAAAAAUGAGGCUCUUUCCCUUUGCUGAGAUGGCAGUCACAGCUUUAUUUCUUGGGAUCUUUCAGAGUGAAAUUGCAGGAGGGAAAGAGGAAGAGUUAUCGAUAAGCAGUCCUUUUUCAAGACAGGGGAAAGGGGUGUGGAGGAUUUACACAACCAAUAAGGGGAACUGGGGAGAACAAGAUAAGGUAAAGAACUUAAAAGUCUGCAUUUUCGGGGGUACAUUUUUUUGGGGUCAUACCAUUUCCUAACUGCAUUACAACAUUACACCAGCUCAGGACAUGAGGAAUUUUAGUGUCUGCUCAGUGAACAUGAGAUAGAAGUCCUGCAUUUAGGCACCAGCAGCACUUCAGGAUAGUAAUUAACUUUUUUGCUGAAGUGGAAGACCACUGUACAACUGCUGAGUAACUCAGCAAUAAUCUUGCAACUCCAACAACUUUUACCAAGUAUUGCUAUGUUUAUCAAGGGUACUACUGCUUCCCAACUAACUGUCCCUUUUUUCCCAGCUACUAUCCUUCUAGCACUUCAGCCGAUUCUAGUUAGGACACAGUAUCUAAGUUUAAGUAGUUUACUGAAAUAGAUUUUUCACAAUGAGUCCAGAGUGAAAAGCAGCAGCUGAAAUACACUCAUGAUUUCCACAUCCCAUUUGCCUACAGAGAGAUUAAAUGUGCCUACAGAAUUAAGAUACAAGCACUGUUGCUUUCAGAAUGAGUGUUUGAGAACAAGCACAGAGGGGGAAAAUUAGAGGGGCUUUCAACUCCAGUCUUCAAGUCAGAAGUCUACUUUUAUACGAAACCUUGAGUGUUUAACAGAACUUAUAAGUUCAUUAAAAAUGUCAUACCAUCAAUAUUUUCAGCCUAAGAGUUGGUUUCAUUACUACUCAUCCAUUAGCAGCCAGCUCAAUAAGGUCUUACUAGCAUUUAGGCUUCUGACAAGUUUGGGUAAGUUCUAACAGCCUUCAGAAGCUUGUAAAAGAGAAAAAAAGUGUUAUGUCUUUUUGUAAUGGGUAUUUCAACUAAUCAGAGCUCAGAAAGUAAACACAAGCUUUGUUUUUGUUUAACUGAAAAUAAACACAUCAUUCCCAAAAAGCAGUCAGGUUCUGCUGUGGCAUCUGACAAGUGAUAACAGAACCUGCUACAUAUUUUGUAUCAAAAACUCCCAUAAGAUUCAGUACUGACAAAAAAUUUGCACCUGUAAAAAUAUAUAAUAUAAUCACAUCAAAUACUAAAUCAUCACAAGACUGAAGCAGAGAAAGAAAAAGGUCUGAAGCUUAGAAGAACAAAGUAUGAGAUUACAAACUUAAGGUUCAGUAAAAAUUAAUGGAAAAAAUGUUUGGAUCUUUUCAAAAUUUGUUAGAAGAAUGUGGGAGUACUACACCAAAUGACUGAACUGUGACUAUGCAGAAGACUGAUAUGAGAAAUGCUUAUCUUAGUAUGCAUUGGUCAAACAAUCCCUUGUAGAGAAAAGAAAGCCACAAUAUAAUCCUUGUUCUUGAGGGGGCUUCACUUGAAAUACUGGUUGAAUUGAAUCAAAGAAUACUUUCCAGCAGAAGCUGAGGAGCUGUUAGACACAUCUGUUGUUGGACUGUCUUAAGAGAUGAGACUAAAUUCAGAGGAUUUCUGUCCUCUGAAAGAUUGUGAAAGAACAAUCAUAAUAUUGGGGAAGAGAAGUCUAAGGGGUGGAUCAAAUAUACAGAAUAGCUAUUUUAAUAGCAAUGCUAAAAAAAAGGCAGCAGGUGAAGUGACUAGUAAUCUGGAGUAGGUCACCAACAUGGUAAUGGGACAGUAUUCUACCCAACUUUAAGACAGAACUUGAUGAGUUGACACAAGAGCUUGGCACUAGACUCCAGGAGUCCCUUUCUAAUCUGACACUGCUGUAUUUCUUGUGCCUAUGAAAACAGAAAUAAAUUACUUCUUGUAUUAAUCAGCAAGGCCUCAAUUGCCUAAGGUGUUUCAAAGAGUAACCAAUAUACGGAAUAGAAAAAAAUUAUCUGACCUACAAUAGGUGUUGAGCUACUUAAUUUAAUGACCAAAUUUUUUUAUCAUAUUUGGCUAGUUAGUGAUAAACUAACUAAUACUAACAUUCCCUAGGCUAUAAACAAUUCCAAAGAUUUAUAACCAUUUUUUGCCUAAGCUCUUCCAUACUUGUCACCAAGGAAAGAAUGAUCAGAGACUUAAGUAAUUUCAAUUUCCUUCUCACAAACCACUUGAGGUUUAUGGUUCCUGCUCCAAGAAAAAAAGAUUUAUGAAGUAAAAUUCUUGCAGCAACAUCUGUCAGCAGCAAGAGGUUACUUUCAAUAAUUCUAUUUUAGAAUUUAAACCCACAGCUCUGGCUCAAACAAUCAUGGUCAGAAAACUAAAUUCAUUCCCUGGGCAUUUGUAAGCAAUGUCACUCCUCCCACUAUAGACCAUGUCUGUCUGUCGGGAAAGGAGGAUUGCAAAAAUAAAAUUUUCAGCAGCCCAAUACUAACCCAAAUAUUAUCUUGAACAUUAUUCCCCAUGUUCCAGAGGGAAAGACAAUUCACUCCUCCCUUUCCAACAAUCUGUUUUGAGUUGUAAGAAGAAAUCUUGAGCUGGCAAAUAAUUGUGGGAAGGACAUUUUAGAAUAUUCUUGAUCAUUAUCAUUUCUACUCCAGGAGUACUUUUGCAUCCUUAUUUAUGUUAGCACCUGGCCUCAGGUCUCCAAGAAUUAAUUCAUCCCAGUACAAAAAGAAACACGAAUCCUUAGAUUCCCUGAUACUUGCAAGCUCUUUUCUGUUUUAGUUUUGUUGGAAGAGAGGUGGGGUGGGGCAUCAUUUUGGGGGUUUAGUGGUGGUGUUUCUGUUCUGGGGUGGCCUGCUUGGUUUUGUGUUGGGUGCUUGUCUUUUUAUGAAGAACCUAGGUUCUCCUUUGCUAUUUCAUCAGAGUCCAGACUCAUAGUAUUGUCAUAUGUGAUAGACACAGUAUAGAGAAAAAAACCAUACUACCAGGGACUCUACUGCCACUCUCCUACCCCAAAUACGUAAUUUCUGUCAAUAAAGCAAUCAUAUAAUGAAAGUGCUUUGAUUCCUUUCACCCAAAUUAUUAGACACUAUUAGAUAGCUAUCAUAAACCUUGUAUUCUAUUAAUAUGUAGGUAAAGAAUAACAUAUCACUACUUUAUUUCUCCCUUGUGUCAAGAAAUAAAGCUAAUUUUAUUUUAAAAUACUUUUUUUUUAAAAAAAAAAUCAUAAUGUCAUAGAGAAUACAUUUACCUAGAGAUGAGAAGUCUGGCUUCACACUUCUCCCACCUCUGGUAUAGCAGUGAUGAUCACAGAAAUUUCACUCAGACUGCAGAGCAUAGAUUACUUCUGUAAUCACCAGAUUACAUUUGUGACAGACCCAAUUGAGCAAGAGAUGUGAUUCAAGAAGACAUUUUGUGAGAUGGAUUUAGAAGGGAAAAAAACCCCAAUAAAUUUCUAAAUA